rnacentral:rRNA from 1 species
UCGUGGGUUGACCUGUCUGCUUGAUUGCGAUAACGAACGAGACCUCCACCUACUAAAUACAUGUAUAUUUUCGAGUAUAUUAUGUUCUUAGAGGGACUCCCUGCGCAAGCAGGAGGAAGCUGGAGGCAAUAACA